UCCUACGGGAGGCAGCAGUGGGAAUAUUGGACAAUGGGCGAAAGCCUGAUCCAGCCAUGCCGCGUGAGUGAAGAAGGCCUUCGGGUUGUAAAGUCUUUUAGUCGGAAAGAAAGAGUUGCAAUGAAUAAUUGUGAUUUAUGACGGUACCGACAGAAAAAGCACCGGUAACUACGUGCCAGCAGCCGCGGUAAUACGUAGGGUGCGAGCGUUAAUCGGAAUUACUGGGCGUAAAGGGUGGCAGGCGGUCUUGCAAGUCAGAUGUGAAAGCCCCGGGCUCAACCUGGGAAUGGCGAUGGAUACUGGGCGACUGAGUGCGGUAGAGGAUGGCGGAAUUCCCGGUGUAGCGGUGAAAUGCGUAGAGAUCGGGAGGAACAUCCGUGGGAAGGCGGCCAUCUGGACCAGCACUGACACUGAGGCACGAAAGCGUGGGGAGCAAACAGGAUUAGAUACCCUGUAGUCCACGCCCUAAACGAUGCGAACUGGAUGUUGGUCUCAACUUGGAGAUCAGUGUCGAAGCUAACG
rnacentral:rRNA from 1 species